ensembl:lncRNA
UUGCAGCACCAAUAUCCCCCCUUUACCAGCAAACAGGCAUUACCUAGAAAUAAUGCCAUAUAUGACUGAAUAAAAUACACACGAAUUAUUGUUUCACUUAGAGAAAUGCUUUGGAAGGUUCACAAACAGGUUCCUGGGCCUAUUGAGGAGGGGGUUGGCAAGUUGUUUCAGCAACCUGCUGCUAAUUUAUUGAUAUUAAAUAUUUUUACAAGUAGCAGCCAGCCAUUAGCCUCUGAAUCUAAGAAAAACAAUAGUAAUCAUGCCUGCCGAGUUUUCUCCGUUGGCUCUGACUUUAACAAUCCAAGUUAUUGAUCAUCUUCCAGAUUUUAGUUCUAUAUUUAGAGCUUUCCUUUUAUUCUUCAAAAUAGCAUACUUCAGAAUUUCCAUCCAUCUCCUACCAUCAAGCUAAGCCUCCCCAGUCACCCCAUUUCUACCCAGCAAGCAUGUGUGUUGGUUUUGUAUUCGUCUGACCUCUGGACCCAGUGGACAAAGCUCUUCUCCAUCUUAGACUACGUUUGUGCAGCACAGGGUGGAGCCCUGGGGUGAUGCCUUCACAACGGGUAUCCUGCUCUCCCUUCUCCCGUCAACUGGGAGUAAUAAAAACGACCUACUUCACAGAAUCAUGGUUGACUUUCUCUAACUAAGGACCGUAAAGCUCUUUGAGUGUAAAUACUAUCCUCCAAACUGCAGAAAUAGAAUCUGACAUCCCUUUGUGAGACUUCUGAGUCACGAAACCUGUUGCAUGUUGCUCAGUGUGGGACAAGAAAGAUGCAAACCUUGGGCCAAAGAUGAGCAUUUCCCCUGGGAGAAUAAGCCACUACUGAUUAGUUCCCUCAGUUAUCUCCAGAUGCAAUGGAGAAAGCGCAAGUUGUUCAAAUCAUACAUUCCAUCUUUCAAGUAAACAAUUUACUAUCACUUACAGAGCACAGACUGUUGGCCAGGUACUGUGGCUUUACAUAUCUCAUUUAAUCUUCACAAUACCCUACGUUAUCAGGAGUAUGGUUGCAGGUGGAGAAACUGAAGCUCAGUGAAUGUGAGUCAUUCGCUUGAGGUCACAGAGCUAAUAAGUGGCAGAACCAGAGUUUGAGUCCAGGUGUUGUCUCCUUCCACGCCCA